AUUGAACGCUGGCGGCAGGCCUAACACAUGCAAGUCGAGCGAGAGGCGGACGGGUGAGUAAUCGCCGGGAAACUGCCGGAUGGAGGGGGAGAACUACUGGAAACGGUAGCUAAUACUGCAUCGCAUCAGAUGGGCACAGAUGGGAUUAGCUGGUAGGUGGGGGAACGGCUCACCUGGGCGACGAUCCCUAGCUGGUCUGAGAGGAUGACCAGCCAAACUGGACCUGAGCCACGGCCCAGACUCCUACGGGAGGCACCAGUGGGGAAUAUUGCACAAUGGCCGCAGGCCUGAUGCGCCCAGGCCGCGUGUGUGAAGCAGGCCUUCGGUUUGUAAAGCCCUUUCAGCUGGGAGACGUUACCCGAAGAAGAAGCACCGGCUAACUCCGUGCCAGCAGCCGCGGUAAUUC
rnacentral:rRNA from 1 species